rnacentral:lncRNA from 1 species
GAUGGAGAAUAAUGGGGGUGCAUAACUGAACCCAUAACUGAACCCUGAUAACUAUCCCAGCCUUCUUGGUGAAUAUUCUGGCUCCUGGAGUUAGAACUUACCAAUGUACCCUUUUUGUUCUUCAGGUUCUUCCCAUCCUCUACUUCAAUACUGCAAAAUCCAAAUGUCAUUAAUUGCCUGGAUGUUCUGGAAAUUGGAUACCAGCAUGCCAGGAUGGAGAUGGUUUGAACAGAGAAUGUAGGACAUAAAGAAGUGUACAGAGCAGAGAAACUUCAUCUACUUUAAUAAAAAUGGGAUAUGGAGAUGGAGAUGGGUCCUACCCUCGAGCCCACCCACAAAUGAUUGUGUCUAGUAUUGUAUAUCUGCUCAACAAACAAGAGAUCCAAGUGGGAAGAAGAAGCAAGCAUGGACUUGGCAUCUGAUUGUGGUCUGGCUCAGUGCAAUAUUAUUAGUGCCAACUGGAAAGGAAACCACCACCGAGAUCCAUCACAACAUGUGCUAUCGCGAGUUGUAUAUUGGGGAUGGAUCUGCCCCUGGCCAGAGGAGAAUAUGCCAAGGAAUCCUCAGCUCACCUAAAAGUGUGGUUACUGUGAGGAUGGCAGAGAAAGCAGAACAUGGAAUUUGGAGCCAAGAGACUUCUUAGCUGACCCUGAACUCUCCUGAAAAAGAGUUCCCUUGCCAUACACGAUAGGAUUUUAGAAGGAUCAGAUGAGAUCCCCUAUGUGAGAACGCUCUGCAGAUGCAAUAGGAAUUGACCAGGGUGAAGGACUGCAGCUAUGGCUCAUAAUAAAAGCUUCCUUUGUUUCCAAACAUUCUCAGGACUGACAUCUGAUCU